rnacentral:rRNA from 1 species
UACGAAGGGUGCAAGCGUUACUCGGAAUUACUGGGAGUAAAGCGUGCGUAGGCGGUUUGUUAAGUCUGUCGUGAAAGCCCCGGGCUCAACCUGGGAAUGGCGAUGGAUACUGGCGAGCUAGAGUACGGUAGAGGAGAGUGGAAUUCCCGGUGUAGCAGUGAAAUGCGUAGAGAUCGGGAGGAACAUCAGUUGCGAAGGCGGCUCUCUGGACCAGUACUGACGCUGAGGCACGAAAGCGUGGGGAGCAAACAGG